AGAGUUUGAUCCUGGCUCAGGAUGAACGCUAGCGGCAGGCAUAACACAUGCAAGUCGAGGGGUAUAGUUCUUCGGAACUAGAGACCGGCGCACGGGUGCGUAACGCGUAUGCAAUCUACCUUUCACAGAGGGAUAGCCCAGAGAAAUUUGGAUUAAUACCUUAUAGUAUUACGACUUCGCAUGGAGAUGUAAUUAAAGAUUUAUCGGUGAAAGAUGAGCAUGCGUCCCAUUAGUUAGUUGGUAAGGUAACGGCUUACCAAGACUACGAUGGGUAGGGGUCCUGAGAGGGAGAUCCCCCACACUGGUACUGAGACACGGACCAGACUCCUACGGGAGGCAGCAGUGAGGAAUAUUGGACAAUGGGCGCAAGCCUGAUCCAGCCAUGCCGCGUGCAGGAUGACGGUCCUAUGGAUUGUAAACUGCUUUUAUACAGGAAGAAACACCUCUACGUGUAGAGACUUGACGGUACUGUAAGAAUAAGGAUCGGCUAACUCCGUGCUAGCAGCCGCGGUAAUACGGAGGAUCCAAGCGUUAUCCGGAAUCAUUGGGUUUAAAGGGUCCGUAGGCGGCUCAGUAAGUCAGUGGUGAAAUCUCCCGGCUCAACCGGGAAAUGGCCAUUGAUACUGUAAGACUUGAAUUAUUAGGAAGUAACUAGAAUAUGUAGUGUAGCGGUGAAAUGCUUAGAGAUUACAUGGAAUACCAAUUGCGAAGGCAGGUUACUACUAAUGGAUUGACGCUGAUGGACGAAAGCGUGGGUAGCGAACAGGAUUAGAUACCCUGGUAGUCCACGCCGUAAACGAUGGAUACUAGCUGUUGGGAGCAAUCUCAGUGGCUAAGCGAAAGUGAUAAGUAUCCCACCUGGGGAGUACGUUCGCAAGAAUGAAACUCAAAGGAAUUGACGG
rnacentral:rRNA from 1 species